rnacentral:rRNA from 1 species
UACAGAGGGUGCGAGCGUUGUUCGGAAUUACUGGGCGUAAAGAGCGCGCAGGCGGCUUGGUAAGUCGGAUGUGAAAUCCCGAGGCUCAACCUCGGGUCUGCAUCCGAUACUGCCCGGCUAGAGGUAGGUAGGGGAGAUCGGAAUUCCUGGUGUAGCGGUGAAAUGCGCAGAUAUCAGGAAGAACACCCGUGGCUAAGGCGGCUCUCUAGUACGGUACUGACGCUGAGACGCGAAAGCGUGGGGAGCGAACAGG